UUGUCGUGCCUUUCUGCUUGCUUCUUCGUUUUUUCCUCUUAAAGGGACUGACAGCAGGGACGACAGUACACCUGGGACAAGGGGAGCCAGAAGAGCAGCGAGUUGGACGAGUGGCUUAAGUCUGACAAAGAAUAUUCCCUUCAGGAAUUUAUCCUGCGGCGUGGGAGCAUACUUUUCCAAACACCAGGCAAACCGUGAGACAGAAACGGCACAAAUUUAGGCUUUCGGCUCGCCUGAGAACCAGUCUCCUUGACUAAAUUCAUCAGCAUUUGCUUCAGCUUCUCCAGGUCGACGGUUUUCAGGACGAAGGUCUUGUGUUUCUGCUUCAGCAGCUCCGUGUAGUCCAGCACCAUCAUGCCCGGGAGUGGGGCCGCUCUAGCUCCACGGUUACGGCAACCUGAAGGGGGAGGGUUUGUUGAGCAAUGAUUCAUGCUUAAACCAUAGGUCUUUAACAGGGGUUUUGGCGACCCCUAGGAGGGCCGCUCAGAUACUGCAGGGGGCGUUACGAAAUCUUUGGUUGAUUACACAUUUUUUUUUUUUUUUUUUAA